rnacentral:rRNA from 1 species
UUUUAUGGAGAGUUUGAUCCUGGCUCAGGAUGAACGCUGGCGGCGUGCCUAAUACAUGCAAGUCGAGCGAACGGACGAGAAGCUUGCUUUUCUGAUGUUAGCGGCGGACGGGUGAGUAACACGUGGAUAACCUACCUAUAAGACUGGGAUAACUUCGGGAAACCGGAGCUAAUACCGGAUAAUAUUUUGAACCGCAUGGUUCAAAAGUGAAAGACGGUCUUGCUGUCACUUAUAGAUGGAUCCGCGCUGCAUUAGCUAGUUGGUAAGGUAACGGCUUACCAAGGCAACGAUGCAUAGCCGACCUGAGAGGGUGAUCGGCCACACUGGAACUGAGACACGGUCCAGACUCCUACGGGAGGCAGCAGUAGGGAAUCUUCCGCAAUGGGCGAAAGCCUGACGGAGCAACGCCGCGUGAGUGAUGAAGGUCUUCGGAUCGUAAAACUCUGUUAUUAGGGAAGAACAUAUGUGUAAGUAACUGUGCACAUCUUGACGGUACCUAAUCAGAAAGCCACGGCUAACUACGUGCCAGCAGCCGCGGUAAUACGUAGGUGGCAAGCGUUAUCCGGAAUUAUUGGGCGUAAAGCGCGCGUAGGCGGUUUUUUAAGUCUGAUGUGAAAGCCCACGGCUCAACCGUGGAGGGUCAUUGGAAACUGGAAAACUUGAGUGCAGAAGAGGAAAGUGGAAUUCCAUGUGUAGCGGUGAAAUGCGCAGAGAUAUGGAGGAACACCAGUGGCGAAGGCGACUUUCUGGUCUGUAACUGACGCUGAUGUGCGAAAGCGUGGGGAUCAAACAGGAUUAGAUACCCUGGUAGUCCACGCCGUAAACGAUGAGUGCUAAGUGUUAGGGGGUUUCCGCCCCUUAGUGCUGCAGCUAACGCAUUAAGCACUCCGCCUGGGGAGUACGACCGCAAGGUUGAAACUCAAAGGAAUUGACGGGGACCCGCACAAGCGGUGGAGCAUGUGGUUUAAUUCGAAGCAACGCGAAGAACCUUACCAAAUCUUGACAUCCUUUGACAACUCUAGAGAUAGAGCCUUCCCCUUCGGGGGACAAAGUGACAGGUGGUGCAUGGUUGUCGUCAGCUCGUGUCGUGAGAUGUUGGGUUAAGUCCCGCAACGAGCGCAACCCUUAAGCUUAGUUGCCAUCAUUAAGUUGGGCACUCUAAGUUGACUGCCGGUGACAAACCGGAGGAAGGUGGGGAUGACGUCAAAUCAUCAUGCCCCUUAUGAUUUGGGCUACACACGUGCUACAAUGGACAAUACAAAGGGCAGCGAAACCCCGAGGUCAAGCAAAUCCCAUAAAGUUGUUCUCAGUUCGGAUUGUAGUCUGCAACUCGACUACAUGAAGCUGGAAUCGCUAGUAAUCGUAGAUCAGCAUGCUACGGUGAAUACGUUCCCGGGUCUUGUACACACCGCCCGUCACACCACGAGAGUUUGUAACACCCGAAGCCGGUGGAGUAACCUUUUAGGAGCUAGCCGUCGAAGGUGGGACAAAUGAUUGGGGUGAAGUCGUAACAAGGUAGCCGUAUCGGAAGGUGCGGCUGGAUCACCUCCUUUCUA